CCUACGGGAGGCUGCCGUGGGGAAUAUUGGACAAUGGGGGCAACCCUGAUCCAGCCAUGCCGCGUGUGUGAAGAAGGCCCUCGGGUUGUAAAGCACUUUCAGUGAGGAAGAACGCCUGUUGGUUAAUACCCAUCAGGAAAGACAUCACUCACAGAAGAAGCACCGGCUAACUCCGUGCCAGCAGCCGCGGUAAUACGGAGGGUGCGAGCGUUAAUCGGAAUUACUGGGCGUAAAGCGCGCGUAGGUGGCUUGAUAAGCCGGUUGUGAAAGCCCCGGGCUCAACCUGGGAACGGCAUCCGGAACUGUCAAGCUAGAGUGCAGGAGAGGAAGGUAGAAUUCCCGGUGUAGCGGUGAAAUGCGUAGAGAUCGGGAGGAAUACCAGUGGCGAAGGCGGCCUUCUGGACUGACACUGACACUGAGGUGCGAAAGCGUGGGUAGCAAACAGGAUUAGAUACCCCUGUAGUC
rnacentral:rRNA from 1 species